rnacentral:tRNA from 1 species
CGGGAUGUAGCGCAGUUGGUAGCGUACCACGUUCGGGACGUGGGGGUCGGAAGUUCGAAUCUUCUCAUCCCGA